ensembl:lncRNA
CGUGAGCGUAGCGCAGGAGCGGGGUGCGCGUCGGCGGAGGCCCCGGAGCGCGCGCGGCGAAGUGACCGUGUGUUGAGAGCGCAGGGCCGGUGUGGCUGAGUCGGGCCUGCGCCUGUGGGAAGCAUACUUACCUGGCAGGGGAGAUACCAUGAUCAAGCAGGUGGUUUUCCCAGGGCGAGGCCCACCCAUUGCACUUGGGGUGUGCUGACCCCUGCGAUUUCCCCAAAUGCGGGAAACUCGACUGCAAAAUUUAUACCAUGAUCAAGCAGGUGGUUUUCCCAGGGCGAGGCCCACCCAUUGCACUUGGGGUGUGCUGACCCCUGCGAUUUCCCCAAAUGCGGGAAACUCGACUGCAUAAUUUGUGGUAGUGGUUUUCCCAGGGCGAGGCCCACCCAUUGCACUUGGGGUGUGCUGACCCCUGCGAUUUCCCCAAAUGCGGGAAACUCGACUGCAUAAUUUGUGGUAGUGGGGGACUGCGUUCGCGCUCUCCCCUGGCAUUUCCUGUAACAAAAGUCAGAUGCUUUUGAAUUCAGGUUCUCGUUCUUUCCCUCCAUUUCCUGCGCGAGCCAGCCCUAGAAACGGCUAUCUUAAAAGCCUAAAAGCGUUUUUAGUAAUCUGUUUCGUUGUGCCUACCUUAGCACGCACCAGGGAAACAUUUCCUGCUAAGCGGAGUGAGCCUGCGGAGCGCUCGGACCGACCCCGAUCCUGCCCGCGCGGAGUCCCCGAACCCCAUGUGGCGGCGGCGGGGUCCCGGAUGCGCGGGCGGCUCUUGCGUGGUUCGUAACGUCCGUACGAACUUUGGCUGCGGGCGCGGAAGCGCGGGUUCCGUUGGCUUCGAGGACUCCGGCUCUGGCUGCACGGUCGCCGCCUCUGGUUGCCCCAGGUGUAUCCGCCGUGGUGACUCUUGGCUCACCAAGGAGACGCCGCAUGAUACACUGCACCGUCUCUGUGGCGCAAUCGGUUAGCGCGUUCGGCUGUUAACCGAAAGGUUGGUGGUUCGAGCCCACCCAGGGACGACCCAGGCUUUUAACAGCCUUUCCUAAUUAAUUAAGUUUACUUGUGGAACCGUCUGCAGACAAAGCACAUUCCUCCAUCCUACUCAGAAAUCCCCGAAUCCCACCCAGCACCCCGGCUUAUGUACAAAACAGCCUUACCUUGCCUGUCACGGUUAUGGUUAUUUAUGAUUGGCCUCUGGUAACGAAAACAACAAAGCCAAUUUUUAUUAGGGGUGGGGGGCACCUGUGGACAACCUCCACCUGCUAUCUCUGGUUUAUUUGGGAAUGGGUGGGUAGAGUGGGAAUCCUUUGUUAAUAAAGGAAAAUUAGGAACCACAAGUUGCCAAAGCACAGGAACGGACCAGAUUUUAAUAAAGCAGAUAAACGUUGCACCACUGGGCGACCGCAACGCAAUUCGUAAUCAGAGCACCCUCGAACCAAUUUAACUCGGAAACCAUGUGGUGUGGAGACACCAAAACACAUCCCGGAAACGGGCGGCCAGGCCGUGUGUUAGGGAACCCGGGGCUGGCGGGGUGGUUGUGGUCUCUGCAGGCUGGCGGCGUCUCUGUGCGGCUGGUUUGCUCCGCAGCUCUUUGGAAGGAGCCCGCAGCAGUUUGUCUCCUCCCGGGGUGCUCCAGCCACGGCGGAGCGGAGGGCGAUGGAGGUCUCCAACGCGCUUGGGGACAUACUGCGCCUGCGAGGAUGGCAUCGACCCACGGACUUCACAGCUCGCACCUGCCCUCACCACCCAACCGAGGCACAGAGGCUCGCCCUGGGUGCCGGCCCGCGGAAGGGGACUGAGGCUCGCGCAGAAAGCCGUUGUCGGGCUCGUGGCUCGCCGUGAUCGUAUAGUGGUUAGUACUCUGCGUUGUGGCCGCAGCAACCUCGGUUCGAAUCCGAGUCACGGCAUUGGUCAUCCCUCCUGUCUGGCACGCUGCUUUCUUGCCCCCUGCACCUCUCGCCUCAUUAACGUCUUGCCACAGACUCCAGUCACCUCCUUCGAUGUUGGUACAGUUUGGAGCAAGGAGGCUUCAUUGUCAAUCACGCUGUCUCAGCUGCCAAUCACCUCUAAGACCUCGGACAUACUAAGCACCUUUCUUUCCCCCUUUGAGCAACGCUCCAUCCCUAGUUUUGGUCUUGGUCUGAAUGCUCCUAUCUGGUAAUUUGUCAUAACAAUAACACAAUAAGUGGAAAAGCUUGUUUUAUAUGUCCUGCCCCCCCCCCUCUCUCCCCACACACGCACACGCACACAUCCUGACUAAGGAAACUUGAGAAUCAUAAACUACAUACCUCCAGUGAUCCGUUCUCCAGGUCCCCACUGAGAGGUGAGACGAAACUGCUUCUGACCACAAUGCAGGAUUCCAGGACGGGAGAUCAAUUAUGUCUCCGUGUGGUCUUUAAGCAAGUGACGUG